rnacentral:lncRNA from 1 species
AAAAGGUAAGUAUGCUAUUUCAUUUAUGAGAAAGAAUAUUUUUCCCAUGAUCAUCUUGAAGAUUUUGUGCUUGUGGCAGGAGAAAUGAGGUUUUUAAAAAUGUCAAUUUUAUGAUUCUUCAAUUAGCAUAUUUCUCUGAGGUUUCCAUUUUUAGAGUGGAAUGUGCCAUUUAAACAGAAUAGUCUAUUUUAUGGUGAAAAAAUUCUGAUGUCACAGUGAAAAAAAAAAAAGAGCAAUAAUUCAAUAGUGUAGUGUGACAUACACCAGAGAAGAUAGAAUAGGGUGGUUUGGGGAGCCUGAAGCUAUACCUAUAGUCAUUUCUCACUUCAUAUUCCUCAAACUAGGCACCAAAAUACUGAUGAUUUGCUCUCUUGAGAACUGCACAGCUUCAGGGC